rnacentral:tRNA from 1 species
UGCCGAGUUGUGUAGGGGUAGCACAGGGGACUUUGGAUCCCUUAGCCCAGGUUCGAAUCCUGGCUCGGCAGCCA